AGGCCAGAGCCGCGCCGGCGCCGCCAGUCCCAUUGCUCACCUCCGUUCCCGCUGCGCAGACUCCCCCUCAUCCCUCCUACGUCUCCGCGUUAGCGCCCUCCAGAAGAAAGCAUCCUCUCUCUCUCUCUCUCUCUCUCUCUCUCUCUCGCUGUGCGCCUGUGCCAGACAGAGAGAACUAAUCCAGUACGCGCCGCCGCCUACGCACCCGCGUACUCUCAGCCGCCGCCGCUCGGCCGUCGCGCCGCCCCUGCCUCCUCUCCGGCACUGCGCCACCGCGGCCGCCUGCUGAUCGUUCAAGUCGACGCUUUCCCCACCGUAUCGUCGCUAGGCUGCUAUCAACGUUAGAGCAUGGAGGACGAUAGCAACGCGCUUAUUCUUCCCUGCAAGAGGAAGAACAAAGUACAAGGGAUAGGCAAGGAUGGCAAGAAAAGCAAGAGCAAGGAAGACCCAAAGAUGAGCAAGACUCAGCUAAAAAAAAUGCAGAAAUUGGAGGAGGAAAAGCAAAAGAAGGCACUGCAAGCAAAAAGCAUCGAAUUUUUGCAGAAGCACAUGAUUGCUGAUGAUGUAUUUUCACUGCUGGAUACUACGUGCUCUAUUGGAAAAGCUGCGACUAUGAAAGAAAAAUUUAGGCGUGCCGCGAAGUUCUCCAAGCAUGGUUUAGAUGUUCCUGAAGAACUUUCACUAUUCAAGAAAAACUGUGGUCGGAAAGGAGUUCCUGGAGACAAUGAAGCUGUGCCAGAAGUUUCCCCGGUGAAGUUUAUUAAGGCAGCAAAACUUGAUCAUCCUGGCAGUGAACGAAAGAAUCAUGAGAAAGAUUCGAUGAAACCUAUGAUGGAUCUUGGCGUGAGCAUUCUGGAACAAAAAACUGAAGGGACUAAUGACAAUGCUGGCAUUUCGGUACGCCAGAUCAUUCUGGGACAAAAAACUGAGGAGACUAAUGAUGAUGCUGACAUUUUGGCACAUCAGCCGAUUCAGUCAUCCGUGCAAAAUUGCUCUGCCGCAGAGAUAGAUUUGCAGGAUAAAGAGCUACAACAAAGUGAAACUGCUUUACAAGAAUGCUUCAAUCCUCCAAUUGUGGUGCCUGUCUCAAGACCACAGGAGGUUGAGAAGGCGAGGAGGGAUCUCCCAAUAAUAAUGAUGGAGCAGGAAAUAAUGGAAGCUAUCUACGAAAAUUCUGUGGUAAUUCUAUGUGGAGAAACAGGCUGUGGUAAAACUACUCAGGUCCCUCAGUUCUUAUAUGAAGCCGGCUUUGGCACAAGCAAUCGAGCUGGUAGAAAAGGGAUGAUUGGUAUCACCCAACCACGACGUGUUGCUGUUCUUGCCACAUCCAAGAGGGUGUCUUAUGAGUUAGGACUUAAGCUAGGAAAGGAGGUCGGUUUUCAAGUUAGGCAUGAUAAAGAAGUUGGAAGUAAAUGCUCCAUCAAGUUUAUGACAGAUGGCAUUUUGCUGCGAGAGAUCCAGAGUGACAUUCUGUUGAAGCACUAUUCCGUGAUCAUCUUGGAUGAGGCACAUGAAAGGAGUUUGAACACAGAUAUACUUAUUGGGAUGCUUUGUAGAAUUACAAAGCUUCGCAAGGAUACAUACGCAGAUCAACAGAAAAAAAUACGCUCUGGAAAGAACAUUAAGCCAGAAGAUAUGAUUAGUCAGCUGAAAGUGGUGCUGAUGAGUGCUACCUUGCAGUUAAAGGAAUUUAUUUCAAACAGAAGAUUGUUUGAUGUGAUUCCACCAACUGUAGAGGUACCUGCACGGCAAUUUCCAGUAACAAUUCACUUCACGAAGAGGACACAUGAUGAUUAUUUAGCACAGGCUUAUAAAAAGGUUCUGUCAAUCCACAAGAGUCUACCACCAGGUGGAAUCCUUGUAUUUGUUACUGGACAACGAGAAGUUGAUUAUUUAUGUAAGAAACUGCAAAGAGCAUCCAAACGGCAAAUUGGUAAGAAGCCUGAAAGGGUUGGAGAUGAGUGUGGUUCAAGACCAGAAAUAGAUGAGAAGGAAAUUUUUGAAGCAUAUGAUAUUGAUAGAACUGAAGCUGAGCACCAAGAGGACAUGUUUUCCUCAUAUGGUCAAGAUGAAAUGGAUGAUGGACUAAAUGUUGAUUCUUCUGAUGCUGAAACAGAGAGUGAGACUGAUACUGACAGCGAUGAGGAUUCCGCUGCACAUGAAACCACAGAAGAUGGACCAGUGUUAUCAUUUUUGAAACAUGCUGAGAGUUUAUCUGUACUGAAGGCAUCCUUUAAAGGUAUAUCAGGGAUAUCAGGAGAAUCGGAAGCUGCUGAGGAAUCGAGCAAUGUGACAAUUGCGGAAAAGUCAAACCCUUUUAAUCCUUCUUUCAGUAAACGUACAGAACCUACAUCUGUUUCACACCGUAGGCUUCGUGUUUUACCACUUUAUGCAAUGCAACCAGCUUCGCAGCAGCUUAGAGUGUUCCGCGAUAUUCCUGAAGGGGAAAGAUUAGUUGUUGUGGCAACUAAUGUUGCAGAAACCUCUUUAACAAUUCCUGGUAUAACAUAUGUGGUCGAUACUGGAAAAGAAAAGGUUAAGAACUAUGAUCAUGCUAUGGGGAUGGCAAGUUAUGAAGUCCAGUGGAUAAGCAAGGCGUCAGCAUCCCAACGUGCUGGGAGAGCUGGAAGAACUGGGCCUGGGCACUGUUACCGUCUCUACUCAGGUGCAGCAUAUGGUAAAGAUGGUUUAUUUCCUGAGUUCUCUGAGCCAGAGAUCAAGAAAAUGCCAGUUGAUAGCCUUGUGCUUAUGCUCAAGUUUAUGAAAAUUGAUAAGGUUGAAAACUUUCCUUUCCCUACGCCUCCUAACGAUGAAAGUUUGGUUGAAGCUAAGCGUUGCUUGAAGACAUUAGAAGCACUUGACAGCAAAGAAAAACUUACAUCAAUGGGAAAGGCUAUGGCGCAAUACCCCAUGAGCCCACGACAUUCGCGUCUUCUUCUGACAAUAAUUAAAAUUUUGAAGAGCCAGCAAGGCUAUGCCAGAUCUAACUUCAUACUGGGAUAUGCAACUGCUGCUGCAUCAGCUUUGAGUUAUGCAAAUCCUUUUCUCAUUCAGGUAGACACUAGUAGAGAAUCAAACCAGGAUGGCCCUGAUCCAGAACGUAAGGAUCAAGAUGAAAGAAAGAGACAGAAGAAGCUCAAGGCCAUGGUUCGAGAGGCACGCAAAGAUUUUUCCAUCCCUAGUAGUGAUGCUUUAACCAUUUCCCAUGCUUUGCGGUCAUUUGAGUGUUCAAGGAACCCAGUGGAAUUCUGCAGAGAAUACUCACUUCACCUCAAAACAAUGGAAGAGAUGUCAAAAUUGAGAAAGCAGCUUCUUCGAUUAAUAUUUCACAAUAGCAAAUUUUGUGAUGAAUUUGCUUGGAAUUAUGGAGGUUCUGAGGAUGUUGAACAGGCCUGGAGGAGUGAAACCGACAAAAAACCAAUGCUGAAUGAAGAGGAACUUCUGGGGCAAGGAAUAUGUGCUGGGUGGGCCGAUAGGGUUGCAAAGAAGAUUAACACUUUUUCUGGAUUGUCGAAAGAGGACCGAAAGGUUCGAGCUGGACGUUAUCAAUCUUGCAUCCUCGAUGAUACAAUAUAUCUCCACCGAUCAUCUUCUGUUGCCCAAACUCCACCAGAGUUUGUAGUUUACUCGGAACUACUAAAUACAAAGAGAUCGUACAUGCAUGGUGUGACCAGUGUAAAGCCUGGAUGGCUUUUCAAAUAUGCUAGUUCUCUCUGCACCUUCUCAGCGCCACUGGAAGAUCCAAAACCCUAUUACGAGCCUCAGAAUGACCAGGUGUACUGUUAUGUUAGUCCCAUCUUUUCUAGACAUAAUUGGCAGCUUCCGCUGCACAGUUUACCCAUCGAAGACCCCACCAGGCGGUUGCAGGUAUUUGCAUGGGCUUUGCUGAAAGGGGAUGUCUUGCCAUGUCUAAGGAUGGUUCAAAAGUUCCUGGCUCUGUCACCAUCUGCUGUCCUUGGGCCUGCCAGCCAAAGAAGAGUUGGAGAUCUUCUUAACAGGAUGAAGAUUGGUGGAAAAUUAAAAGACAGCCGGAGAGCAUUAAGAGAUGCAUGGAGUAGUGAUCCAGAUUUUCUUUAUCCUGAGAUUCAGGCAUGGAUACAGGAUAAAUAUCAGAGCCAGUUUGAAGCAAUAUGGGAACAAAUGCACCAAGAAGUUCGGCUUGAGGGACACCAACUUUUCCCAAAGAGGUUCAAGAAAGUUGAGGGGUAGUCGGUUCAAAUAGAAGACUGCUGGAAGCUUAUUUGUCAUGGAACACAUCUUUCAUGAGAGCAUCCACAUAAGUUCGGAACUGUUUGCUUAAAACCUGGAAAGCUUGAGAAAUACUCCCUCCGUUCCAAAUUAGUUGACUUGAAUUUGUCUAAAUACAAAUGUAUCUAUAUUUGUUUAGUGUCUAGAUACAUCCAUGUCUAGAUAAAUAUGGGUCAAGUAAUUUGGAACUGAGGGAGUAGACUACGCCCACUGAUGUGCAGUUGUGGGCCCAUGAGAUAUUUGACCAAAAUAGGGUUUGCUGCAAACAACAGAAAGCAGUCAUCAGUUCAGUUAGAUAAGGAUAGAAUGAAAUCUUUGAUGGCUUAUUUAUUAUCGAUAGUGCACCGGGAGAAGGUUAUAGCAUUCAUUUGGGUGGUGUUAUGUACUCCCUCGGUUUUGAAUUAGUUGACAUAAAUUUGUCUACAUAGUAUGUAUUUAGAUGUGUUUUAAUAUGUAGAUAUAUCCGUAUCUAUACAAAUCUGU